ACGCUGGCGGCGUGCCUAAUACAUGCAAGUAGAACGCACAGUUUAUACCGUAGCUUUCUACACCAUAGACUGUGAGUUGCGAACGGGUGAGCAACGCGUAGGUAACCUGCCUAUUAGAGGGGGAUAACUAUUGGAAACGAUAGCUAAUACCGCAUAACAGUAUGUAACACAUGUUAGAUGCUUGAAAGAUGCAAUUGCAUCGCUAGUAGAUGGACCUGCGUUGUAUUAGCUAGUAGGUAGGGUAAAGGCCUACCUAGGCAACGAUACAUAGCCGACCUGAGAGGGUGAUCGGCCACACUGGGACUGAGACACGGCCCAGACUCCUACGGGAGGCAGCAGUAGGGAAUCUUCGGCAAUGGGGGGAACCCUGACCGAGCAACGCCGCGUGAGUGAAGAAGGUUUUCGGAUCGUAAAGCUCUGUUGUUAAGGAAGAACGAGUGUGAGAAUGGAAAGUUCAUACUGUGACGGUACUUAACCAGAAAGGGACGGCUAACUACGUGCCAGCAGCCGCGGUAAUACGUAGGUCCCGAGCGUUGUCCGGAUUUAUUGGGCGUAAGGCGAGCGCAGGCGGUUAGAAAAGUCUGAAGUGAAAGGCAGUGGCUCAACCAUUGUAGGCUUUGGGAACUGUUUAACUUGAGUGCAGAAGGGGAGAGUGGAAUUCCAUGUGUAGCGGUGAAAUGCGUAGAUAUAUGGAGGAACACCGGUGGCGAAAGCGGCUCUCUGGUCUGUAACUGACGCUGAGGCUCGAAAGCGUGGGGAGCGAACAGGAUUAGAUACCCUGGUAGUCCACGCCGUAAACGAUGAGUGCUAGGUGUUAGGUCCUUUCCGGGACUUAGUGCCGCAGCUAACGCAUUAAGCACUCCGCCUGGGGAGUACGACCGCAAGGUUGAAACUCAAAGGAAUUGACGGG
rnacentral:rRNA from 1 species